CAUCGCCCGCGCAAUCCCGCCGCAGGAGCCCAGCCGGCGCCGCUGCUAUCGGGGACCCUCCCCGGGUCCGCGGGACUUGUGCCCUCUGCGCUCAGAUCGCCAGACCCGAGCUACCCAAGUUGGCAGUUCCCGCCGCUUUUUUUCAGGGGGUCUCCAGAGGCAGCAGGAGUAGCGAAAAAGCAGAAGAACCCUAGCUGGGGUUGUGGCCCCUGUUUUUGACGGUCCUGUGCCCCCACCCCCACCCCCCGGUCCUCCAAGGGUGUACUUCACAGUGAUCAAAGCGAGAAAAGGCUGAGUCACCCACUUCACAAACGGGGAGUGUGACUGCAAGACCAAGAACAUUGAUGAAGCUGCCCGAUAUCGCUGGGACACCAAACAGCAGCACAGAGGUUCAGUCUCUGGUCUGCAUCGCUGUGAUCCUCUGUCCUUUUUUUCAAAGGGGAGGAAGCUCCUUCCAAGGUGACUGUGAGCAUUUCUGUCUGCUGAUGAGGUCGUUUAAGAUGCGCUCUGUUCCAUUAUCUACACUAUUAUUUUAACAUAACAGUUUAGUAAGGUUUGAGAAUAGCCAGAGCUUGUGAAGCUAGACAGACAUCAUCCUACUCUGGUGAAAAAAGUCUGUGGCUCUGUGGCGGAUUAACUAAUGGGCGGCUUGGAACACCCAGCUGAACUGAAUCAGCGUGGUGCU